rnacentral:rRNA from 1 species
GACGUAGGGCGCGAGCGUUGUCCGGAUUUAUUGGGCGUAAAGAGCUCGUAGGCGGCUUGUCGCGUCGAAUGUGAAAACUCGGGGCUCAACUCCGAGCUUGCAUUCGAUACGGGCAGGCUAGAGUUCGGUAGGGGAGACUGGAAUUCCUGGUGUAGCGGUGAAAUGCGUAGAUAUCGGGAGGAACACCUGCGGCGAAGGCGGCUUCCUGGACUGCAACUGACGCUGAGGCGCGAAAGCUAGGGGAGCAAACAGG